GUAUAUUGAAACAAUAACGGGCGCACGCAUUCUGGACAAUCUGUAUCAGAUUUUUUGUUACGGAAACUAAACGCAGGCCAAAGACGACAUCUGCAUAAUUCAGCUUUGAGAGAACUAGACUUUCAACGAGGCGGAUACGCAUUUCCUUCGACAGAUUAGGUCUCAUCCUGUAUAAUACUUUCAACCUGUAAAAGGAGUUACUGACUAGGUUAGUGAUGUGUUCAUGGAAUCCCUGUUUACAGUCGAGAAGAAGACCAAGACUACGUGCUACAAAUAUGCGUCUCUCACUUGUAUUCGGCAUCUUCGCUAUGUUGUUCAGUCUUGCUGUAGCGACAUACAAGAAACCGUUGUUUAACGGAUCUAUUUUUGGAAAAAGGACAUAUGACACGGAGUACGAUUCUACUACACGGGC